rnacentral:rRNA from 1 species
UACGGAGGGGGCUAGCGUUGUUCGGAAUUACUGGGCGUAAAGCGCGCGUAGGCGGAUCUGCAAGUCGGGGGUGAAAUCCCGAGGCUCAACCUCGGAACUGCCUUCGAUACUGCGGGUCUCGAGUCCGGGAGAGGUGAGUGGAAUUCCUAGUGUAGAGGUGAAAUUCGUAGAUAUCAGGAAGAACACCAGUGGCGAAGGCGGCUCACUGGCCCGGUACUGACGCUGAGGCGCGAAAGCGUGGGGAGCAAACAGG